GACGUGGGCGGUUCGCUGCCCGCAACGUGGUGAGAAGUCCACUGAACCUUAUCAUUUAGAGGAAGGAGAAGUCGUAACAAGGUUUCCGUAGGUGAACCUGCGGAAGGAUCAUU
rnacentral:rRNA from 1 species